CCAAAACUAGCCACUUGUCAUUUUUUAAUUGGUUUUUAGUGUAUUAAAUUUUUUCUAAAACCAAUUAGAAAAUGACAAGUGGCUAAUUUUGG
rfam:Prunus persica cultivar Lovell chromosome G1, whole genome shotgun sequence.